rnacentral:rRNA from 1 species
AGCCGUAGGGGAACCUGCGGCUGGAUCACCUCCUUU